UUUACUUUCAUUCAGACACAUUUAACUUUCUAUUUUGCACUGAUAUAGGCCCACCUGAUCGAUUUGCUUUUCCACAAUGAAGUAAACCACACUGACCCCAAAUCUGUGUAAAGUGUCGAAUUCCUUAGACUGCAUGACUUAUGCUCAUAUAAAGCAAUAUGGCCUGACCACUCCUGACAGGACCAUUGAUUCAACACCGUGAAACAAACAAAUCAAAAAUAGCACACGGAAAACAACCAAGAUGGGAUUUCACUCACUGGUCAUCCUUUCUGACAGAUUUCCUCAUCUUAUUAUUUCCCCACUGGAGCCAAAGUGCUGCACCUGCCAAUAAUUUCAAAAAGAUGCUCCUAAAGUCUCCUGUGUUCGUCUCCCACUGUCAUCUCGAUGCUGAGACCCAGCAAGCUGGCAGGGGCUGACCCUGAGGUGCUGGGAAUUGUGGGUAGUGGGAUUACCUAUGGUGGCAUAGUC